GGAAGUGUUUCGUCACCGGUGUGGCGCCUGGUCUUCAAAACCAGUGGGCGGCUUAUCCCCGUUUGCAGGUUCGACUCCUGUACACUUCCGCCA
rnacentral:tRNA from 2 species